AUUGAAACACCUGUUCCCGUACGAUCACCAAAGCUAAGCAACGUCGAGCCUGGUUCGUACGUAGAUGGGUGAUCGCUUGGGAAUACCAGAUGCUGUAA